rnacentral:rRNA from 1 species
GAUGAACGCUCGCUACAGGCUUAACACAUGCAAGUCGAGGGGAAACGACAUCGAAAGCUUGCUUUUGAUGGGCGUCGACCGGCGCACGGGUGAGUAACGCGUAUCCAACCUGCCCACCACUUGGGGAUAACCUUGCGAAAGUAAGACUAAUACCCAAUGAUAUCUCUAGAAGACAUCUGAAAGAGAUUAAAGAUUUAUCGGUGAUGGAUGGGGAUGCGUCUGAUUAGCUUGUUGGCGGGGUAACGGCCCACCAAGGCAACGAUCAGUAGGGGUUCUGAGAGGAAGGUCCCCCACAUUGGAACUGAGACACGGUCCAAACUCCUACGGGAGGCAGCAGUGAGGAAUAUUGGUCAAUGGACGAGAGUCUGAACCAGCCAAGUAGCGUGCAGGAAGACGGCCCUAUGGGUUGUAAACUGCUUUUAUAAGGGAAUAAAGUGAGUCUCGUGAGACUUUUUGCAUGUACCUUAUGAAUAAGGACCGGCUAAUUCCGUG